GGAUCCUAACUGGUGCACAUGAUGACUUAAAACUUUUUUCCCCAUCAGAGCGUCAGUGUUGAUCUCUUUGCUGUUACAGCCAGAAUCUGUCUGAUGCACCAGUGUUUUAACAGCGAGAGGGGAGGGCGGUUGAGAGUCUCUUGAGCCCAAUUCAUGCAGUUUGCAAGAGCAAAUCUCUCUCGGUUAAUCUGACUGUGGUGGGUGUCUUUCCGUUUAGGGCGACGAUGCCGCUAGGCAUGUACAGAGCGAACUGCUGCAAAAAACGAGCUGGGCGCAAGGAGGCGAUGGAGUCACCUGAAACCCGCACACGAUCUGAAUACACGUGAUCGGAGUGAGCCUGAAGUUGUAAUCAUUGAGGUGGGCCCAUGCAGAAAAGA